GCACCGGCAGCGGGUUCCAGCGCAGCCGGUUCGGGUCCGGCACGGCCUGGUUGAAGGGCGCGGUGCGGAUCGUGCCGUUGCCC
rnacentral:tRNA from 2 species